AUGGUAGUCAGAAGGUUAGGAAAUUUGGUUAGUCAAUUAGGGUUGAUUUUUGUUAUGUCUUGCACUCAAAAAAUUUUCCUCUUCAUUUUAAUCCUAAUUGGCUUAUACUUCAUCAUAACAUGCAUACAUAUAUGUCAUAAGAUCUAUACUCAUGGAAUUAAGGGUUUUCUCUAUGAAAAGAACUGUGAAAGAUGA